rnacentral:rRNA from 1 species
GAGCACUGUUUCGGCUAGGGGGCCAUCCCGGCUUACCAACCCGAUGCAAACUGCGAAUACCGGAGAAUGUUAUCACGGGAGACACACGGCGGGUGCUAACGUCCGUCGUGAAGAGGGAAACAACCCAGACCGCCAGCUAAGGUCCCAAAGUCAUGGUUAAGUGGGAAACGAUGUGGGAAGGCCCAGACAGCCAGGAUGUUGGCUUAGAAGCAGCCAUCAUUUAAAGAAAGCGUAAUAGCUCACUGGUCGAGUCGGCCUGCGCGGAAGAUGUAACGGGGCUAAACCAUGCACCGAAGCUGCGGCAGCGACGCUGAUG